UAGUGGGCACACGAGUAAUUAGUUUAAAUAAAACAUCUAAUUUAGGCUUAGACAAUUAUACUCUCGCAUAAUUACCUAAUGCUCUCCCAACAAUUAUUUUUUUUCACUCACUUUUUAUCUCGCAUU